CAUUAAGAAGCUAUGCACCCAGCACUAGCCUUUUAAGCUAGNGAAAGAGGAUUUUCCCCCUCCUUAAUGA
rnacentral:tRNA from 1 species